rnacentral:rRNA from 1 species
AUGACCUCGUCGGCAACCAAGAAGGGGGCGUCGCUGGUGGUGGCUACAAGCAUGGCGGCCGUGGAGGCGCUCAAGGACCAGGCGGGGCUGUGCCGCUGGGACUACGCGCUUCGCUCGAUCUACCGCCAUGCUAUGGUCACCGGCCGACGCGCCGUCCCGGCCGCGAGCGGCAGCGCGGCCGCCGUUGGCAGGGCUGCCCGGCCCAGGCGAUCCGAGGAGGAGAAGCUGCACAAGGCGUAUCACGUUGUGUGCUGGGGACCAAACUGA